rnacentral:hammerhead_ribozyme from 1 species
AUCCAGCUUGCGGACGAGUCCCAAGUAGGACGAAAUGCGCAUCCUGGAU